UACCAGCACCCCGAGCGGUCUGGACGAUUAUUGGGCCUAAAGCAUCCGUAGCCGGUUCUACAAGUCUUCCGUUAAAUCCACCUGCUUAACAGAUGGGCUGCGGAGGAUACUAUGGAGCUAGGAGGCGGGAGAGGCAAGCGGUACUUAGUGGGUAGGGGUAAAAUCCGUUGAUCCAUUGAAGACCACCAGUGGCGAAGGCAGCUUGCCAGAACGCGAUCGACGGUGAGGGAUGAAAGCUGGGGGAGCAAACGGG
rnacentral:rRNA from 1 species